rnacentral:rRNA from 1 species
AAUCAACGCUGGCCGUCUGCCUACAACAUGCAAGUCGAACGCGAAAGCCCCGCAAGGGGUAAGUAGAGUGGCAAACGGGUGAGUAACGCGUGGGCGACCUACCUUCGAGUGGGGGAUAACCUUCCGAAAGGAGGGCUAAUACCGCAUGACAUCCCGUGUUUGGAUACACGGACAUCAAAGUCUGGGAUCGCAAGACCUGACGCUUGGAGAGGGGCCUGCGUCCGAUUAGCUAGUUGGUGGGGUAACGGCCCACCAAGGCUUCGAUCGGUAUCCGGCCUGAGAGGGCGGACGGACACACUGGGACUGAGACACGGCCCAGACUCCUACGGGAGGCAGCAGUAGGGAAUUGUUCGCAAUGGGCGCAAGCCUGACGACGCAACGCCGCGUGGAGGAUGAAGACCUUCGGGUCGUAAACUCCUUUCGACCGAGAUGAAUACCCACCGACCUAAUACGUUGGUGGGCUGACUGUAUCGAGGGAAGAAGUCCCGGCUAACUCCGUGCCAGCAGCCGCGGUAAUACGGGG